rnacentral:rRNA from 1 species
UACGAAGGGAACUAGCGUUGUUCGGAAUCACUGGGCGUAAAGCGCGCGUAGGCGGCUUUGCAAGUCAGAGGUGAAAUGCCAAGGCUUAACCUUGGAACUGCCUUUGAAACUGCGAAGCUGGAGUGUCGGAGGGGAUAGCGGAAUUGCUAAUGUAGCGGUGAAAUGCGUAGAUAUUAGCAGGAACACCGGUGGCGAAGGCAGGUCUCUGGGCAUUAACUGACGCUGAGGAGCGAAAGCAUGGGGAGCGAACAGG